rnacentral:rRNA from 1 species
UACGUAGGGGGCAAGCGUUGUCCGGAUUUAUUGGGUUUAAAGGGUGCGUAGGCGGCCUUGUAAGUCAGUGCUGAAAUAUCCCGGCUUAACCGGGAGGGUGGCAUUGAUACUGCAGGGCUUGAGUAAAGUUGAGGUUGGCGGAAUUGACGGUGUAGCGGUGAAAUGCUUAGAUAUCGUCAAGAACACCGAUAGUGAAGACAGCUAACUAAGCUUUAACUGACGCUGAGGCACGAAAGUGUGGGGAGCAAACAGG